rnacentral:rRNA from 1 species
UACGUAGGGGGCUAGCGUUGUCCGGAAUCAUUGGGCGUAAAGAGCGCGUAGGCGGCCAGAUAAGUCCGGUGUGAAAGUCAAAGGCUCAACCUUUGAAUGCCGCUGGAAACUGUCUGGCUAGAGUCCGGGAGGGGCGAGUGGAAUUCCUGGUGUAGCGGUGAAAUGCGCAGAUAUCGAGAGGAACACCUGCGGCGAAGGCGGGUUGCUGGGCUGACACUGACGCUGAGGCGCGAAAGCCAGGGGAGCGAACGGG